rnacentral:rRNA from 1 species
GGUUAAGCGACUAAGCGUACACGGUGGAUGCCUAGGCAAUCAGAGGCGAUGAAGGACGUGCUAAUCUGCGAAAAGCGUCGGUAAGGUGAUAUGAACCGUUAUAACCGACGAUGUCCGAAUGGGGAAACCCAGUGCAAUUCGUUGCACUAUCGUUUGAUGAAUCCAUAGUCAAACGAGGCGAACCGGGGGAACUGAAACAUCUCAGUACCCCGAGGAAAAGAAAUCAACCGAGAUUCCCCUAGUAGCGGCGAGCGAACGGGGAGCAGCCCAGAGUCUUAAUCAGCAUCAGCAUCAGGAGAACGGUCUGGAAAGGCCGGCAAUAAAGGGUGAUAGCCCCGUAUCCGAAGGUGUUGGUGUUGUGAACUCGACGAGUAGGGCGGGACACGUGUUAUCCUGUCUGAAUAUGGGGGGACCAUCCUCCAAGGCUAAAUACUCCUGAUUGACCGAUAGUGAACCAGUACCGUGAGGGAAAGGCGAAAAGAACCCCGGCGAGGGGAGUGAAAUAGAACCUGAAACCGUGUACGUACAAGCAGUGGGAGUGAUAAAUCAAGGGGGUGACUGCGUACCUUUUGUAUAAUGGGUCAGCGACUUAUAUUCUGUAGCAAGGUUAACCGAAUAGGGGAGCCGUAGGGAAACCGAGUCUUAACUGGGCGAAUGAGUUGCAGGGUAUAGACCCGAAACCCGGUGAUCUAGCCAUGGGCAGGUUGAAGGUUGGGUAACACUAACUGGAGGACCGAACCGACUAAUGUUGAAAAAUUAGCGGAUGACUUGUGGCUGGGGGUGAAAGGCCAAUCAAACCGGGAGAUAGCUGGUUCUCCCCGAAAGCUAUUUAGGUAGCGCCUCGUGAACUCAUCUUCGGGGGUAGAGCACUGUUUCGGCUAGGGGGUCAUCCCGACUUACCAACCCGAUGCAAACUACGAAUACCGAAGAAUGUUAUCACGGGAGACACACGGCGGGUGCUAACGUUCGUCGUGAAGAGGGAAACAACCCAGACCGCCAGCUAAGGUCCCAAAGUCAUGGUUAAGUGGGAAACGAAGUGGGAAGGCUCAGACAGCCAGGAUGUUGGCUUAGAAGCAGCCAUCAUUUAAAGAAAGCGUAAUAGCUCACUGGUCGAGUCGGCCUGCGCGGAAGAUGUAACGGGGCUAAACCAUGCACCGAAGCUGCGGCAGCGACAUUUAGAUGUUGUUGGGUAGGGGAGCGUUCUGUAAGCCUGUGAAGGUGUGCUGCGAGGCAUGCUGGAGGUAUCAGAAGUGCGAAUGCUGACAUAAGUAACGAUAAUGCGGGUGAAAAACCCGCACGCCGGAAGACCAAGGGUUCCUGUCCAACGUUAAUCGGGGCAGGGUGAGUCGACCCCUAAGGCGAGGCAGAAAUGCGUAGUCGAUGGGAAACAGGUUAAUAUUCCUGUACUGGUGAUAAUUGCGAUGGGGGGACGGAGAAGGCUAGGCUGGCCGGGCGACGGUUGUCCCGGUUUAAGGAUGUAGGUGGGUGAAUUAGGCAAAUCCGGUUCGCUAUACACUGAGGUCUGAUGACGAGUCACUACGGUGGCGAAGUAGCUCAUGCCCCGCUUCCAGGAAAAGCCUCUAAGCUCUAGAUUAUCAUUAAUCGUACCCCAAACCGACACAGGUGGUCAGGUAGAGAAUACUCAGGCGCUUGAGAGAACUCGGGUGAAGGAACUAGGCAAAAUGGUGCCGUAACUUCGGGAGAAGGCACGCUGGCAUUAGGUGAAGUGGUUUACCCAUGGAGCUGAAGCCAGUCGCAGAUACCAGCUGGCUGCAACUGUUUAUUAAAAACACAGCACUGUGCAAACACGAAAGUGGACGUAUACGGUGUGACGCCUGCCCGGUGCUGGAAGGUUAAUUGAUGGGGUUAUCCGUAAGGAGAAGCUCUUGAUCGAAGCCCCAGUAAACGGCGGCCGUAACUAUAACGGUCCUAAGGUAGCGAAAUUCCUUGUCGGGUAAGUUCCGACCUGCACGAAUGGCGUAAUGAUGGCCAGGCUGUCUCCACCCGAGACUCAGUGAAAUUGAACUCGCUGUGAAGAUGCAGUGUACCCGCGGCAAGACGGAAAGACCCCGUGAACCUUUACUAUAGCUUGACACUGAACAUUGAGCCUUGAUGUGUAGGAUAGGUGGGAGGCUUUGAAGUGUGGACGCCAGUCUGCAUGGAGCCAACCUUGAAAUACCACCCUUUAAUGUUUGAUGUUCUAACGUUGCCCCAUAAUCUGGGGUGCGGACAGUGUCUGGUGGGUAGUUUGACUGGGGCGGUCUCCUCCCAAAGCGUAACGGAGGAGCACGAAGGUUGGCUAAGCAUGGUCGGACAUCAUGCGGUUAGUGCAAAGGCAUAAGCCAGCUUGACUGCGAGAGUGACGGCUCGAGCAGGUACGAAAGUAGGUCUUAGUGAUCCGGUGGUUCUGAAUGGAAGGGCCAUCGCUCAACGGAUAAAAGGUACUCCGGGGAUAACAGGCUGAUACCGCCCAAGAGUUCAUAUCGACGGCGGUGUUUGGCACCUCGAUGUCGGCUCAUCACAUCCUGGGGCUGAAGUAGGUCCCAAGGGUAUGGCUGUUCGCCAUUUAAAGUGGUACGCGAGCUGGGUUUAGAACGUCGUGAGACAGUUCGGUCCCUAUCUGCCGUGGGCGUUGGAAGAUUGAAAGGGGCUGCUCCUAGUACGAGAGGACCGGAGUGGACGCACCGCUGGUGUUCGGGUUGUCAUGCCAAUGGCACUGCCCGGUAGCUAAGUGCGGAAGAGAUAACCGCUGAAAGCAUCUAAGCGGGAAACUUGCCUUGAGAUGAGUCUUCCCUGACUCUUUAAGGGUCCUAAAGGAACGUUUAAGACGAAGACGUUGAUAGGCUGGGUGUGUAAGCGUAGCGAUACGUUGAGCUAACCAGUACUAAUGAACCGUGAGGCUUAACCU